rnacentral:rRNA from 1 species
CCUACGGGAGGCAGCAGUGGGGGAUAUUGCACAAUGGGGGAAACCCUGAUGCAGCGACGCCGCGUGGGUGAAGAAGGAUUUCGGGAUGUAAAGCCCUAUCAGUAGGGAAGAAGGAAUGACGGUACCUGUGUUAGAAGCACCGGCUAAAUACGUGCCAGCAGCCGCGGUAAUACGUAGGGUGCAAGCGUUAUCCGGAUUUACUGGGUGUAAAGGGAGCGCAGGCGGGGCGGCAAGCCUGAUGUGAAAGCCCGUGGCCCAACCGGGGGACUGCAUUGGGAACUGCCUGGCUGGAGUGCCGGAGAGGUAGGCGGAAUUCCUAGUGUAGCGGUGAAAUGCGUAGAUAUUAGGAGGAACACCAGUGGCGAAGGCGGCCUACUGGACGGUGACUGACGCUGAGGCUCGAAAGCGUGGGGAGCAAACAGGAUUAGAUACCCCGGUAGUC